rnacentral:rRNA from 1 species
UGGGGAAUAUUGGACAAUGGGGGGAACCCUGAUCCAGCCAUGCCGCGUGUGUGAAGAAGGCCUUAUGGUUGUAAAGCACUUUAAGCGAGGAGGAGGGUACUGGUAUUAAUACUACCAGGUACUGGACGUUACUCGCAGAAUAAGCACCGGCUAACUCUGUGCCAGCAGCCGCGGUAAUACAGAGGGUGCGAGCGUUAAUCGGAUUUACUGGGCGUAAAGCGUGCGUAGGCGGCUAAUUGAGUCGGAUGUGAAAUCCCCGAGCUUAACUUGGGAAUUGCAUUCGAUACUGGUUAGCUAGAGUGUGGGAGAGGAUGGUAGAAUUCCAGGUGUAGCGGUGAAAUGCGUAGAGAUCUGGAGGAAUACAGAUGGCGAAGGCAGCCAUCUGGCCUAACACUGACGCUGAGGUACGAAAGCAUGGGGAGCAAACAGG